rnacentral:lncRNA from 1 species
AUGGACCGAAACCCACCAAUCCGCCAGAAAAGGCUAGGCAGGCACGCACGCCCGCGAUUCCAGAGCGCUGCGUUCGCUCUAUUUGGUGGAGGGCCUGAUAGGGGCCGCAGGUUCAAGUGCUUAAAGAAAGCAGACUGUCGGCUGGAAUCACCAACCGGCUCCCCAGAGGCCUCGGGCUCUACCCCGAGCGCACGUGGACCUUGGCCCGCGCCCUGCCCACCGCGGACAUCGUCCACCACGACCGACCCACGCCGGCCACCCCCACGCCGUCCGAGCGGGGCCUCGCCGGGUCCCGGGGACACCAGCGAUCCACGGCAGGACGGCGGCGCGGCCUCCCGAGACAAAGCAGGGUGCCCGAUCCACGGAGCCCGCCGCCCCCGCGCCCGCCGACCGAGACGGCCCGCCGCACCCCGAGCGCCCGGCCAACCGCCGCCGCAGGAGCGCGCAGGGCGCCCAACUGCCGUCCCGGCCCAACCAACGCGGGCAGGGGAGGAGAGGAGGCAGAUGCAAUGUUUGGAGAAGUGUCAGUGCUAUUAUGGCUGUGAAAAUGAAAGACAUAUGCUGAGAAGAGUGAAGAAAGAAGAUAGGAUUCUUGGUGAUGUCAUUGAAUCACACAAAAACUGGACCGGAGGAGUCCUUAUUAAAUGAAAGAAGAGAAAAAAAAAAAACACUGGACUUCUUUAAACUCUUGUAGCGACUUCACUUUCACUUUUCACUUUCAUGCAUUGGAGAAGGAAAUGGCAACCCACUCCAGUGUUCUUGCCUGGAGAAUCCCAGGGACAGAGGAGCCUGGUGAGCUGCCAUCUAUGGGGUCGCACAGAGUCGGACAUGACUGAAGCGACUUAGCAGCAGCAGCAGGGUUCUCUGUUACAUGUAACACAAACCUGAUAGCCUAUUUCACUGUCUUUGAGAAUAUUAUUGUGUGAUGUUUUUCAGUUGCUCAUUCAUGUCCGAUUCUUUGUGACCCCGUAGUCUGCAGCACAGCAGGCUUCCCUGUCCUUCAUUAUCUCCCGAAGUUUGCUCAAACUCAUGUCCAUUGAGUCAAUGAUGCCCUCCAACCAUCUCAUCUUCUGUCAUCCCCUUCUCCUUCCGCCCUCAGUCUUUCCCAGCAUCAAGGUCUUUUACAAUGAGUUGGAAUUAGUAUGACAGUGAAUAUAAAAAUCGUUAACACAGGGCGUAGCACAUAAUAAGCAUGCAAUAAAUGUUAGUAGUUAUCAUUGCCA